CCUACGGGAGGCAGCAGUGGGGGAUAUUGGACAAUGGGGGGAACCCUGAUCCAGCGACGCCGCGUGAGUGAAGAAGUAUUUCGGUAUGUAAAGCUCUGUCAGCAGGGAAGAAAGAAAUGACGGUACCUGACCAAGAAGCCCCGGCUAACUACGUGCCAGCAGCCGCGGUAAUACGUAGGGGGCAAGCGUUAUCCGGAAUUACUGGGUGUAAAGGGAGCGUAGACGGUUAAGUAAGUCUGGAGUGAAAGGCCGGGGCCCAACCCCGGGACUGCUCUGGAAACUAUUGAACUUGAGUGCAGGGGAGGUAAGCGGAAUUCCUAGUGUAGCGGUGAAAUGCGUAGAUAUUAGGAGGAACACCAGUGGCGAAGGCGGCUUACUGGACUGUAACGGACGUUGAGGCUCGAAAGCGUGGGGAGCAAACAGGAUUAGAUACCCCGGUAGUC
rnacentral:rRNA from 1 species